AAGCCAUCUAGAAUUCUCCAGGACAUCAGAAGGAGAAGAGCUCCAGAAAAGUGAAGACAACCUUUGUGCUGUAACUGACAAGCUGACAAGAUGUGUAACAUGGAUUGUGUUGCCAAUGCCGUAAGGAUGGCUCUGAGGACCGUUAAAAGGGUAUUUGAGAAGACCAAAGAAGUGAUUGAGCACCCCUUUGAGGAACCCAAACCAGGACCUAACAAAACAGAUUGAGGUUGUGAUGGACUUCACGAUCCAUGACAUGCAGAGAUCUUCUACAUUAUUAAAGAACACCAUGUAAUAUCGGGUCAAAAUUCCCCAAAAGAAUAAAAGUCAUAUUGACC